rnacentral:rRNA from 1 species
CCUACGGGAGGCAGCAGUGGGGAAUUUUGGACAAUGGGGGCAACCCUGAUCCAGCCAUUCCGCGUGAGUGAAGAAGGCCUUCGGGUUGUAAAGCUCUUUCGCAAGGGAAGAAAACUUAUGAUCGAAUAAAUCAUGAGGUUGACGGUACCUUGAUAAGAAGCACCGGCUAACUACGUGCCAGCAGCCGCGGUAAUACGUAGGGUGCGAGCGUUAAUCGGAAUUACUGGGCGUAAAGCGUGCGCAGGCGGUUUUGUAAGUCGGAUGUGAAAUCCCCGGGCUCAACCUGGGAACUGCGUUCGAAACUGCAAGGCUAGAGUGUGUCAGAGGGGGGUAGAAUUCCACGUGUAGCAGUGAAAUGCGUAGAGAUGUGGAGGAAUACCAAUGGCGAAGGCAGCCCCCUGGGAUAACACUGACGCUCAUGCACGAAAGCGUGGGGAGCAAACAGGAUUAGAUACCCUGGUAGUCCACGCCCUAAACGAUGUCAACUAGUUGUUGGUAGAGUAAAAUCUAUGAGUAACGUAGCUAACGCGUGAAGUUGACCGCCUGGGGGAGGUACGGUCGCGAGAAGUUAAAACUUAAAAGUUAGUAAGUUAGUACGGCGUGAGACGUGCCGACGGACGACGACGAGGGAGGUUAGG